rnacentral:rRNA from 1 species
AUGACAGUGGCAGGAGACACUGGGACGUCAAAAGGCAAAGAUGCAGAUGAUGUUGACUAUGGAGACUUUGCUCUCUGGGCCUCCACUGAUGAAGGUAAUCCAGAACAGGCAUCUCUUGCUUCUAAUGGGAGUGCUCCAGAGUGGGUUCUCGACUCUGGAGCAUCUAAGCAUGUUGCUAGUAAAUCUUGCGUGUUUGAGUCUUACACUAAGCACCCUCAGUCUCACACGGGCACUAUGCAAACUGCUGAUGGCACAAACCAGCCUGUCGUAGGGGUUGGCACAGUCAAGUGCGCUCCGACCAUCUCCCUAUCCUCGGUUUUACAUGUGCCAGCUUUUCCUGUCAAUUUGGUCUUCUUUAGUGCCCUAAUUGAUCAAAUUGACUGUCGUGUGAUCCUUGACAAAUUUGGUUGCGUGAUUCAGGAGCGACAGACAAGCCAGACAGUUGGGACUGGCACCAGGCGUAGGGGGCUCUAG